AAGUAUGUGAUUUUGCUUUUACAGUAAAGGCGGAUUUUAAUCUCUGGUUUUGUUUCAUUGAACAAGGGACCUUUUAAAAAAAUACCUCAGGUUAAAAAGGUAUUAGAUAUUGCAGCCGGAGGACAAUUCACUGUAGGGGUAACAGGUUAAGGGAAAAAACUAAAGCACGACACAGCUGUCAGUGGCAUCUUUACAAAUGAAAUGCUUAGUCUUGUGCAUAGCAUGCUUAGUCUUUUCAGUACAACCCAUGCUGGGUCACCAACACUAACUGAACCUUGUAACAAAAUGAUGCUCACCUAUCUUGUAACUGUAUUAAACCCAGUUUUUCACUGGGUUGUAAAUGAACAAAUUGUAUUUUCA